rnacentral:rRNA from 1 species
AAUGGGCGCAAGCCUGAUGCAGCGACGCCGCGUGAGGGAAGACGGUCUUCGGAUUGUAAACCUCUGUCAUCGGGGACGAUAAUGACGGUACCCGAUGAGGAAGCUCCGGCUAACUACGUGCCAGCAGCCGCGGUAAUACGUAGGGAGCAAGCGUUGUCCGGAAUUACUGGGUGUAAAGGGAGCGUAGGCGGGAAGGCAAGUUGAAUGUUUAAUCUAUGGGCUCAACCCAUAUCAGCGUUCAAAACUGCUUUUCUUGAGUGAAGUAGAGGUUGGCGGAAUUCCUAGUGUAGCGGUGAAAUGCGUAGAUAUUAGGAGGAACACCAGUGGCGAAGGCGGCCAACUGGGCUUUUACUGACGCUGAGGCUCGAAAGCGUGGGGAGCAAA